UUAUUUCUCUUCUCAUAUCCCAUCGCUCGCUAGGGUUGCACUGCGGCGGCGGCGGCGACUCCGGCGGGCGGCCUCGAGCUCCGGCUCGCCCAACCCUCCGCUCUCCAUCCUGGGCAGUCAAGCGCCGUCCGAAGCUCCUCCGUCCGCGCCGACCGUCCUCUACUCGACAGUCGGUACUGCCCCAAGCUUUUCCGUCCGCGCGACCAGUCCCUCCGCACCUUCCUUCUCCCUGAACCCACGUCACCCUCCACCCCGCAGCCUCGAAUUGACCUCCUGCCGCACGGACUGCACCCGUCGGCGCCGCGCCGCCUCCUGCCCCUCCCCUGCACUCGUCGUCGUCGGUCGCCGGCUCGCCGCCACCCACCAGGUCGCCGCCUCGCCGGUCGCCUUCACCCCCCGGGCCCCGCGCCCCCGCCUGCCGCGCGCCCACGCGGCCACGCCCCCACGCUGUUCUUGCCUGAAAUUUGGUUGCUGGUCGGAUACGCCGGCGCUGGAGUGCUUCAAGGCGAUCGAGCAGCGGCCCGGCCGGGCUGACCAGCUCCUGUUCUGGUGCGAGUAUUGCUGGGGGUGCCAACUGGCAUAGAGCAAUAUAUUCAUCGAGGACUAACCUAUUACAGAAGCAACACAACCAUUAAUUGAUCAGGACAGUAAGAACAAGGUGAGGAAGAUGUAUCCUUCAGUGAUCUAGAAGAUGACUGAGGGACUGGACUGCUCAUAUGCAAUCAACUAUUGGAGCUAGAUGGUGGCUUCAUGAAGAACACUAGCUGCUACCUAAAAGCUCUGGCUGCGCGACAUCAUAGUUUCGGGAUUGAAGUAGCAGCAACGCAGAAUCAGGAUAACAAUGCCUCUGAGGCAUCCUCGUUGUAUGUUGAUGCAUCUACAAAGUCAGUUUUUCUCUGUACAUAAAGUUCCACACUUUGUUCUGCUUUCCUGCUGUACCAGCGCCCCUGCAUACUGCUGUUGGUUUGGGAUUCCAAAUGUAAUAUAUUAGAAUCAUCCAUAGCUGUCAAAUAUUAUCACGGUUACACGGUA